GACGUGAGGGCGCGAGCGUUGUCCGGAUUUAUUGGGCGUAAAGAGCUCGUAGGCGGCUUGUUACGUCGACUGGUGAAAACCCACGGCUCAACCGUGUGGUCUGCCAGUCGAUACGGGCAGGCUAGAAUUCGGUAGGGGAGACUGGAAUUCCUGGUGUAGCGGUGAAAUGCGCAGAUAUCAGGAGGAACACCGGUGGCGAAGGCGGGUCUCUGGGCCGA
rnacentral:rRNA from 1 species